rnacentral:rRNA from 1 species
AGUCAAUAGAUACCCAGGUAGUCCUGGCCCUCAACGUUGCUCGCUCGUUUUACGGAGUAUCGACCCUCUGUGAGACUAAAGCUAACGCGGUAAGCGAGCCGCCUGGGUAGUACGAUCGCAAGAUUAAAACUCAAAGGAAUAGACGGGGACGUCGCACAAGCAGUGGAUUAUGCGGCUUAAUUCGUCGGUAAACGAAGAACCUUACCAAGGUUAGAACCCAACUGCAUCCGACCUGAAAGGGACGGAGCCUUCGAGGGUGUUGGGCAGGUGAUGCAUGGUCGUCGUCAGUUCGUGGUUUGAACUGUUCCCUUCAGUGGGGUAACGAACGCAACCCCGUCGUUCU